rnacentral:rRNA from 1 species
CCUACGGGUGGCAGCAGUGGGGAAUAUUGCACAAUGGGGGAAACCCUGACGCAGCGACGCCGCGUGAGUGAAGAAGUAUUUCGGUACGUAAAGCUCUAUCAGUAGGGAAGAAAAUGACGGUACCUGACUAAGAAGCCCCGGCUAACUACGUGCCAGCAGCCGCGGUAAUACGUAGGGGGCAAGCGUUAUCCGGAUUUACUGGGUGUAAAGGGAGCGUAGACGGCAGCGCAAGUCUGGAGUGAAAUUCCGUGGCUUAACCAUGGAACUGCUUUGGAAACUGUGCAGCUAGAGUGCAGGAGAGGUAAGCGGAAUUCCUAGUGUAGCGGUGAAAUGCGUAGAUAUUAGGAGGAACACCAGUGGCGAAGGCAGCUUACUGGACUGUAACUGACGUUGAGGCUCGAAAGCGUGGGGAGCAAACAGGAUUAGAUACCCCAGUAGUC